rnacentral:rRNA from 1 species
GAUGAACGCUGGCGGCGUGCCUAAUACAUGCAAGUCGAACGCGCAGCGAAAGGUGCUUGCACCUUUCAAGCGAGUGGCGAACGGGUGAGUAACACGUGGAUAACCUGCCUCAAGGCUGGGGAUAACAUUUGGAAACAGAUGCUAAUACCGAAUAAAACUUAGUAUCGCAUGAUACAAAGUUGAAAGGCGCUACGGCGUCACCUAGAGAUGGGUCCGCGGUGCAUUAGUUAGUUGGUGGGGUAAAGGCCUACCAAGACAAUGAUGCAUAGCCGAGUUGAAGAACUGAUCGGCCACAUUGGGACUGAGACACGGCCCAAACUCCUACGGGAGGCUGCAGUAGGGAAUCUUCCACAAUGGGCGAAAGCCUGAUGGAGCAACGCCGCGUGUGUGAUGAAGGCUUUAGGGUCGUAAAGCACUGUUGUAUGGGAAGAAAUACUAGAAUAGGGAAUGAUUCUAGUUCGACGGUACCAUACCAGAAAGGGACGGCUAAAUACGUGCCAGCCGCCGCGGUAA